GGUUUAGUAUGGCAGAGCAACAACCCAUGAGACAGUACUCAUUUCAAUACCACGCCUGGCUAUCAAUUAUUUUUUCAAUUAAUACUAUAGAAUGAUUGUUACUUUGGGAUUGUAUCGGUUAGACUAAAAAGAUGAUUAAAUUAAUUUAUGUAAGACCUUUUUAAAAAAACGAGUCAAUCACUUUGUUUUCAGCCCCAACUUUGGAAGACCUGGAAAGGCGAAAUCUGAGGAUCAAAGUUUGCGAGCUGGCUCAUACGUGGUCAACAUUUCUGUUCUAUAGCUCUGGGGGAAGACGUGCUCUGACAGUGAUCAGUAAAAUCUUGAAAUCAAUUCUAAAUUCUACAGGGAACCAGGGGAAAGGAACCAGGAUUGGUGGGACGUGACGCUGUAUGUUGAAACCAGUGACUGCGACAUUUUAGAGUGACUUUUUAUUAAUGAAAAAAGCCGGAAGGACUUUUUCCACGUCCGCUUGGGAGAGGAUUGGUUGAUGUUUUUUUCUUUUUGAAGACAGAAGAUAAGGAAAAAAAAUGGCAGAUAAAGGACCGAGGGUACUGUCAAUGGGACCGAUCGCGUUCGGUGGAUUGAAAAAUAUGAUUUCUGAUUCAACAUUAUACUAACAUUAUAUUAACAUAUUAACAUUAUGUUGCCAUUCAACAGUUUAUAUUAUUGAGAAAAGUUCCUAUUACCAAUGAGCUAUAAAUAAUUAGUAAAAUUAAUAUCAAGACCGCAUGUAGUUUCAUUUGCGAUGUUGGAUGAAAAAGAACUGUUUUAAAGUUGCUAAAAUAACUAGAAAUGUCCCUGCUGGCAUUUACAACAUGGUCAGGUCAUUUGUUGCCUUAUAGCCUUGAUCAUAUCGGUAUGCAUCCCCACUACCAGUCACCUCAAAUCAGGAGGGCACCAGGUUCGGUCCCGGACUUGACGGUCCUUCCAUGUGAGGUUGACAUGUUCUUCCUCAGCGUAGUUUUUUUUUUCUGCGUCACCAGCUUCGUCGGCCAAAGUCAUGCAUCUUUGAUGAAUUGACAUCUAUAAGUUUCUUGCUGACGUGAACGUGAGCUUCAAGGGGUGUCUCUUAAAUGCCUCGCACUGGCCCGUAUAGUUAAUUCCUUAUUUUAUAAAUACAUUUCCUACAUUUCUUCACAAAGACCUCAGACAAGUGUAGGCUUAUUUUCUAAAUUUCCAUCACUUGGUGUUUUCUUCUCCCAAGAGCCAAAGAGUCCAUUGUUUUGCCUGCGUGUGACAAAGCGAGGGAGCGGCACUUCCUUAUCUGAACUCGGAUGUGUCACUUGCUAUGUGGGAGAAUGGUGGAAACGCAGCGCGCCUUGGGACAUUGUAACAAAGUCCCUUGUGCCACCAGCCCCCCCUGACACAAUUACCCACUCAUGUCUAAUUGGCAUUUGAGGCUUCUCUGCUUGAUCGACCAUGGCCACAUCAGCAUGAAGUGGCAGGGCAGCGUUUCCCAAGCUGUGACUUAACUGGUAUCACGCUUUGUUACUCUCCUAGCUGCUUACAUAAUUUGCCGAUGUAAAUUUACUCUGCCUAAUUAACAUCGUCAGCCUUUUCAUUUGAUCUAAACAGACAUGGGAUGCAUCCGGUCCCUGGUGCUGCUGUCCGUUUUGCUGGCUUGUGAGUGGCGGUCCCUGGGACUGUCUGUUGACUGCAGUGCUGGAGUCGAUGCAACUUGGUUGAAUAAAUCCAUUCCUCCGUACACACACGAGUCAGCCUUGGCGUCUUCAGUCGACAAGUGGGCUUGGGCAUGAAACUAACUUUCCAGAACUGUCAUGGAUUAAGAAAUUAAGUUCAUCUCAGUUGUUGGUUGAUUGGAACUGAGCACUUAACUUGAUAUUGGUUUAGACAAUGGUGCAUGAACAAUGGACCGGCCUCGCUGUGGAGAGGAGCUGUGUGAUAUUUGAGGUGACAGCACUACAGACAAAUAAUCAUAUACUCCCAAUUAGAGUUCUUCUCUGUACUUUAUAGUCCUUGCAAUGCUUAAUGGCCUGUUCGCACAGAACCAUCUCUGGACGCCUACAUGGUCAUUAUUAUCCAACCGGAUCUCGUGUGUUCACAAAUGACAAACGUCUGGAAUAUUGAUUCGUUAACCUUCAAAGUGGGACCAUUAAAUGCCGAUGGCAGAAUUAUUUAAAUGUACAAAUUUAGGAUAAUGUGCUCUGAGAGUGGUGUUUGUGUUUGGUCCCCGUGUUGUAAGGAUGGAUCCGGAGUUCUGAGUCGUGAACUGCUCUUAUUGUGAUGCUGAGACAUCAACCUUCACCAAUUAGCCGUUAUUGUGAUUCUGUGUUGGAUGACAACAGUUGCGUUGUGCAAACCGUGGUUGAUGCUAAAGCAGAGACUGCAGCUGGUGAGAGCUGGCCUGAUGCGUACCAAGCCAGCCACUCAUUCAGCCAGUCAGGAUAUUAGAUCAGACUGGUGGUUUUGUGAUGGUGGCAGGGUCAGUGAGCAUCUCAUCCGCGUCCCCCCGCCUCCCCACCCAGCUCGCUCCCGUCGCCGCUCACCCAUUUGCUUCUCUGCCGCACUGCAGGGUAAUCAGGACAGUGACACUUUAUGAGAGAGGGGACGACAAAAGGAUUUACACACAAAGCCUGGCAGAGGAAUAUAUCUCAUUGGCCUCCAGUUUGAACCUGAGUGCAUAAGCACUAAAGUUUAGUUUAGCCUAAUUGUUUUUGUUCGCUUGCAUCGGGUGAUGCUGACUCACUCGUGAUUAUUUUUUUUUUAUUUCUUCAUUUGCUGCAGUAAGCAUCGCAAAGAGAUUCCUCAGCCUUUCCGUGCCAACUUUCUUGGAAAUAAUAGUGACGGCCUAUUGCGCUAACUCAUGGUAGUUCAACAACAAUAUCAAUUUAAACAAUGUAUUUAAAUAAAAAGUAUAAACGGGUGAGUAAUGCGUAUUGGUACAUUGGUGGUAAUCCUGGAGUGUGACUGAAAUUAGAGUUGAAAUGAUUAAAUAUUGAUAACUCCUCUCUGUGUCCAUUGCUAGCCCAUUUAUAAUUCAUUCUACCUUCAAGGUAGAAUGCAAGAUGACCCCUUUUUUAUUCAGAACUUUGCUUGCUAACUCUUGCUCUCAUAAGUUGUGAUUCCAUUUGGCUGCACUUACAUUUAGCUGUUUUUUUUAUUUGGUUUUCCUGUAUUUGAAAAUAGAUUCCAUACUUUGUCUUCAAUACUGUUCCCAUAUAUAUAGAUAUAGAUAAGCAAUGCAUGCCCAAUGUAUCUAUUGGAUCGAGCGUCUGAGUUCAAUAUAAUGUUAAUUUAUGCCACAGUAAGUACGUGUACGAACAUGAAAAAGCAACAAAAACGGGGUCCUGAAAUAAAACAUGCUAGUGAAAUAUCUUCCCCCGUUGAAUUACAUCCUGUAGGGGUUUUGACUGAAACAGACAAGAACUGGAACAGUGUGUACGCUUGACAAAAACGCGCCUUUGCAUGGACUUUAGCUUUUACUUGCAAAAUGUUUUAGGAGAUGUGCAGAAAUUUAUUAUGGGGGGGAAAAAGCAUGUUUUCUUGUGAACGCUGGCAAAGAGCGCAGAAAACAAGAAAGCAGAGCGUGUUCUGUAAUGUUCCCUUCUGGUUGAGCCAGUUCCCAUCACCGGAGUUCCUCCCUGCGUCGGGGUUCUGCUGCCUGUCAGCUCGGCUGUAGUGUUCAUACAUGAGCCAUGUUCCUUUUGGUGCAGUAUUUUCUGCCUCCUGGAUACUUUGUUCUUUCAACCUCAACUUGACAUUGUUAUUCCUGCUUAUGUUCAAGGCUGUAAUGAUUGGCUGUGACAAAAGAAGUAUCUCCCUCCAUCUUCGAAAAGGAGUGAUGGCCUCUAGACAGCUGUCAUUUACUAUUAGUCUGCUGUAUUCUCUUGAACUAAUUCUUAUUUCUUUGUGCUUUUAGUAAUGUCCAUGAUGCUUUUUCCUCCUCUAUUACAGACAAUGUAAAGCUUGUUCUUUUCCCUAAACCCAUAACUGUCUCUGUUAAUUAAAUAAUCACUUAAUCUUUUGCCGUUAAUUGCGAUUUAAUUGGCCUGAUUACUUCAUUAUCUCAUGAAUGUCUCAGAUAAUUAGCUCGGUGUUAAAUACUGUGAUAUUUUUUUCACUGAAAGAUGGAAAGAAUUCCCCUUGAUUAGUUAAUGAGAUUAAUUAUACUCAGUGAUACACCAGGUAUAAUUGUGAAAGUUCCUACCUGUGAUUCCCGUUUAACGCCAUUAAUGAAAAAGCCCUGUAAAUGAAGGCACAUGUGUCUUUAUCAGGUAAUUAAUUAAAAGCCAUGGCACACAGUUUAAAUGUGAAAUGUAGAUAUAUUUAUACCUUUUUAUAUGCAUACUACUUAAGUGAAAAAAGGAGUUCUGUCUUCAGAAACUGUUCGUUCUGAAAUAGGUCAAUAUGAGUUAACAUUUCUCUGGCUUAGAAUUUGAAAUGAAGAUGGUUCUUUUAAAAAAAAAUAUAUUUUUAGGUUUAAAAGUUUUCCAGACAUCUUUGCUUGAAUUGGACUUUGCAUCUCUUAAAUUGUAAUUGCUUGUUAAGCGUGGACAAAGUUAGAAAAGUGACCUAAAAUCUGCCUCUCUGAUGAGUUUGAAUCAGAUAUUAAGCCCAUUUCACAGAAACUGUAGCUUGAACGAGGUCAGCAUGUGUGGAAUCAAGCUGAAUCAAUCAGCAUGGUUAGACUUUAGUGGAGUAUAACCAAUGAGAACAUGAUAGCCUGAGUUUAAUAUCCAAUGCAGCUGGAAAAUCUAGCAGUGUGCCGAAAAUCUGAAGAUGGCUGGCAGCCUCGUCUGUCUAUGUCUGUGUUUCUGUAUCUUUCCUUUCUCCACACUCCGUCUUUCCCUCUGUGUGCGUCUGCAGUCAGAGGGUAGAGUCAGUUUUACUGUCACUACCUGUGAAAUUGUAUUCCAAGAAGAUGGAUGCUUUCUCUUAUAUUCAUGACAUCCAGUGAAGCACAGUCACCUCCAAAACUGUUUAAUAUGGAUGCCGUGGAGGCGGACGCACAUACACUCGUUCAUACACGCAAACACAGUACAUGUGCAUGCACACAAACACGAGGACAUAAAUGUACUCCUUGCAAGCCUGCACACUUGCAAACACACUAUUUUUUUUUGUUGGCCUCAAAGACAAUGCAUGGCUGGUGUUUGCUCGUGCUGAUGAUGAAGAGUGGUAGUGACAAUGCCGCUCUCAGUAGGGUUGAUGCAUUACAACACAGUGCUGCCAUGUUGCGUAAAUCCUCUGUCUCUCCUCAUUGAGAACAUGGAGGCUUCUCAUCCAGUGUGGUACACCAGUGCACUUUAGCUCUUCUGCUCCUCUUUUGUUUCAUCUCUGGAGUUCCGUGAUGACAUUCACUCACUGUAGCCUAGUCGUCCAUUUUGAUGGUAUUGUGGCGUUGCCUGUUGUCUUAAGUGCGCUUGUAUUUCUCUUUUUCCAGCUGAGUGGCAGUCCGGGGUCGUGUCGUGCUCAGAGGUGUCCCUGUGGGUCCCUGUGCAGCCACUGAAGAGUACAUGUGCUCUGCAGGUGUAGCCCACCUUCCUCCCCUCAAGGGGAGAAACCCUGCAGCAUAAUCUCCUCAGGCUGGACUGGAAGUAAAAGGAGUUGGGAUCCGUGCUUGCAGGGCUUGUGCGUGCAUGUCCGGUUGGGUGUGUGUGUUUAUUCGCCCUGAUGGAGAGGACGAAGGUGCAGGGGUGUGGCCCGCGGGUCAAGGCGGCAGAGGAGACUCACAGUUGAGGGGUUUGUGAGCUGCAGCUGCAGAAAUAAACAAGAUUAAUAAAUCAACACUGCACAAAGGUUAGGACUCUGACGGUACCAACAGGACCUCCCUCUCCCCGUCUUUUUCACUCUCACCUUCCCUUCUCUCGUCCACCACUACCUUAAUAAGCGAUGGAUUCCCACAAGUCCUUGGGGGGCCUUGUUAUGGUUCAUCUGGGCUGUGUUUUCCCUCUCGGCACAAUGCUACAGUACUUAGCCAGCACCUUGCUCCUGUCUCCGCGGGUCCAGGGCCUCCAAAGUGUACACGGUUUGUCUGUUCUAUGAGCCGCCUGGACCUUCAAGUACCUCCUUCUGACAUCCUGAUACAACGGGGCUGUCACUUGACGAUUUUUACAUUUACAGCGAUACAAAACCACACAGUGCCUGUGUACCCCUGUAAAAAUAUCUCCAUGGAGAGAUUCGUUGAACAGCUGCAAUGUUGCUGCAUUUCGUUCUCUGUGUGCCUGUUUGGUUGAGCGCCAUUGUACAACUACACUUGGGCGCCAUGCAGGUCGUCCUUUGGUGAGGAGGAAAAGAGGAAUCAGAGCCUGUAGGAAUGGGGUUCAGAAGAGGGGUUUUGUGUAAUCCUAUUCUAAAUUCAGCAUCAGAUCUUUAGGGGAGCUGUGUAAAACCAGUAUGUUUUUCUUGUCUUUACUUUUGCUGCACACCUCAAAAAAUGAUGAUCGCACAUGGCUUUUCAGCUAUCUAACCCUCAAGGCAAAAUGUACCAGGCUGCUAGGCGGCGUUACCGCUUCCUCCUCCUAGAGACCGCUAACCCCCUCAAAGGAUGCUGAUGUCUGGAGACGGAAUGCCUAUAAGCAGAAAAAGCAGGAAGAAGAAGGGAGAUUCGGGAUGGGGUGGGGGUAACAAGGAGUUUGUGGGGGGGGUCGGGAGAGGGGGGGCAUGGAGUAGAAUGGAAAGAGGGAGGGAGUAUCUGUUUGAUUCAAAGAAAAAAAAAAGUCAAUUCGGUCCCCCUGUUCUUUGUAGAACAUUUAGCUAUGACCCUCCCUUGCUUUCACUACUCCCUCCCCCCACAACCCCCACUGCGACCCCCCCCCCACUCAUACACACACAGGCACACAGGGUCCAGCAGAUCUGCAGGAUAUCACACCAGAGAGCUUUCUCUAUCUCCUUCCCAGAGAUGCAUGCUUCUUAAUACACCUUCCCUGUAUGGUGUGUGUAUAUGUCCACGCUGUUGCAACAGGCACUGAAGGAGGAGAGAAGGAAAUAAGGAGAGAGAGUGACAGGAAGGGAGAGAGGGAGGAAGACGGAGACGUAGAGGGAGAGUCAGACUGAAAUAGUAAAAGGGAGGGGGGGGGGGGAGCUUUAUAUGUUCGUUACAUGUUUAUGAUGCUGUGAAAAAUAUCAAUUUAGAUCCAAAAAACAACAACAACAAAAAGAACAAAAACAAGCCCGAGGACAGAAUCUUGAGUUUUUGCUCAUAUUUCUGGUGAACUAGUGCACAUAGCUGCAGCCCAAGCCCUGACCAGACCUCUACUUGUGCUGAGCAGACUGGAGGCGACCCAGGGUAAGUUAUGGGCUCUUUUUUCUUUCUCUCCCUCUCUCUGCGCUGCUGAUUACAAUGCCGCUGAUUGAUUGGUUCGAGGCUGUGGAUUAUCACGGGCCGCUCGUCACCAGGUACCUGAUGAUGAGAGGAGAGCGAGACUAGAGGAGAGGAGGAAAGGGGGGAGGAGAGGAGGGGGGGGAGGGGAGAGGGUUGUAAAUUAGAUGAGCAUGGCCGGUGUUCACAUCACCACAUCUCACUCACUAUCUGUCUGAUUUCGGUGUUUACUCUGCCAUUGCACAUUUGUGUACCGCAUGUGCAAAAAUUGAUUUUGUGCAUUUGUGUGUGCUUGUGCAUCCUCUCGGUGUGCGUGUGUGGUCCCAGCUGGCACACGUUGCCAGCCCGCCUACCUUUCCGGCGUGUGCUGAUGAGGCUGUGGGGAGGGUUUUUGCUGAUGAGGCAAAGCCAGAGGGGCCUUUUUGUGAGUAUGCAGAUGAGGGGCAUGUGCAAAUGGGAGGGGUCUCGACGUGAGUGUGCGCCACACGCUUUAUUGUUUCUGUGCUCUCCACGGGGAGCUUGAUCCUCAACAGAUUGCCCGGGUUUGGUGUGAUCUUGCCGCCGCUUUGUUUGGGGCAUUCACUCCCCAAGAUGCAGAAGGAGAAUAGGAGAGCCGGGGAGGGGGGGAAACCGAAUAGAAAAAUACAGUUAAAGAGACGGGAGAAAAAAAAAAUGGUAGAGCGGCUUCAGGGCAUAUUUUCACCCCAUUGACAAGACGUGAUGAUUGCUGUUUUGCCCCCUCCCUCCUCCCCUAUCCCUCCCCAGACGUUUUUCUAAUCCAUUUGCAUGUCAAAGCAGUAGAGGCCACUGUGCAGAUUAGUAUGAGAUGACAUAAUGAUGUAAUGAAUUAAAUGCUCCUGUUUAAGCGCUGCACUUCGCUUUAGUGGGAGGCAGGGGACGGGGGAUGAGGGGCAAAUAGGAGAGGAACAAGUAGGUAGAGUUUUCUCUUGCUGUUAUUUGAUCACAAUACACAUUUUUUGUUUUGAGUUUGCAGUGAAGUUAAUCAUAUUUAUAUAUUUUAGCUGCAUGUACAUUUUUUAACUUGAAAAUCUUCAGUGAUUACACCCUGUUAAACAUGGACUCUUUCACUGUAAAUCCAUUAGAAAAAUGUUCCUUUGCAAAUGUUAAUGAUCUGUAAGGGCUGCGUAUUUGUGAAAUGCAUCUUUUUAAACUCUUUU
ensembl:lncRNA